rnacentral:rRNA from 1 species
AAUUUUGGACAAUGGGGGCAACCCUGAUCUAGCCAUCCCGCGUGUGCGAUGAAGGCCUUCGGGUUGUAAAGCACUUUUCGCAGGGAAGAAAAGGCUCUGGUUAAUACCUGGAGCUGUUGACGGUACCUGCCGAAUAAGCACCGGCUAACUACGUUCCAGCAGCCGCGGUAAUACGUAGGGUGCAAGCGAUAAUCGGAAUUACUGGGCGUAAAGCGUGCGCAGGGUGUUCGGCAAGAAGGAUGUGAAAUCCCAGGGCUUAACCUUGGAACUGCAUUCUUAACUGCCGGGCUAGAGUAUGUCAGAGGGGGGUAGAAUUCCGCGUGUAGCAGUGAAAUGCGUAGAGAUGCGGAGGAAUACCGAUGGCGAAGGCAGCCCCCUGGGAUAAUACUGACGCUCAUGCACGAAAGCGUGGGGAGCAAACAGG